UCAGUUGAGAAAACAGCGGACGUAUAGACAGGUAACAUACAUGAAAAUGAUCCGUCUCCAUCCAAACUAAAUUUUAAAAUGUAUAAAGUUUCUGACCUCUUGAAAUGUUAUUUGAAGCGUAUAGUUGUGAUGAAAUGGCGGUAUUGUUGUUGAAAUUGUAUUUCUAAUCGUCUAAAGUCGGGGAAAUGCGGGCGGUGCUACUUCUGCUAGUUUUAUCACAAACGCCAGUUUUUAAACAGCCGUUACUUAUUUUCUGUUUAAUGGAACGAAGACGUGUUUUUAACGUCAAACAUCAAGAUGUCGAGGUAGACAAAUAUAUAUACAUUUUAAAAUGUAGAGAUAUUUUGACCACUUGGUACUAAUGCAUCUCCCAGCCCGUAGGAAUGCAUUGCAUCGUGAUGAGCACGGUACGUGUGCUGUCACAGGAAACAUGCAAACGCUUAGUUCUAAACUUUCGACAGUUUUCUGUGUAAUGUGAACUGUGCAGACCUUAUCCAGCGAGGCCCAGCCUGCAGUGGCUAUGUCCUUUCCUGUAGUGUCUGCUAGAGAGACCUGAGGCCGUUUGAGGCCCUGCUGUGGCUCCUCAAGGCAGGGUUAUAGGUAAACCUCAGACAACCUGUUCACUGGAAGCAUCCGGUUAUUGUGUAAAGUGAGCUAUCGCACGUUUGAUUCUGUUUUCAUUCCGUUUUCUUAGUUGUGAACACCUUGAUGGGAGAAUUCCAUGAAGCAGCGAGGAGACCAUGUGAGGAGACCAUGUGCCACGAGGAGACCAUGUGCCACGAGGAGACGAGUCUGCAGGACUGCAGAGAUGAAGACCUGCUCAGACCUCCUGACUUGACAUCUGCUGCUCAAGGAUGACUUUGAGCUGAAAAAAUUGUGAACACCUUGAUGGGAGAAUUCCCACUGCAGAGAUGAAGCUCAGACCUCCUGACUGGACAUCUGCUGCUCAAGGAUGACUUUGAGCUGAAAAAGUAAGUUUAGUUUAUAUAAUGUACAGACAACACCUGGCCUGAAAUGAGCCGUUAGUCAUGUUACUGCGACAUUGCUUUGGACGCGUGCAGACCUUAUCCAGCGAGGCUCAGCCUGCAGUGGCUCUGUUCUUUCCUUUAGUGUCUGCUAGAGAGACGUGAGGUUGUUUGAGGCCUGGCUGUGAUUCUUCACGGCGGGGUUAUAGGUAAACUUCCAACAUUUAUCGUCUUGGGUUUUCGAGCUGGACGACGUGUUUGGCGUGCUGCUUCAGUGUCGUCUAUUGACUCGACUUAAAUCCAUUUCUUUGCUUUUACAGGAGCGGGAGAUUCAGAGAGUUUCACAGCUUCCAGCCGGCCUCACUGAGCAGAGUUUACCAGUGACCAUGUGGAUCCAUGUUGUGGCUCCUCAUUGAACCUGCAAACUAAAGAGCGGUCACAAACAUGACGGGACUUUGAAGCAGAUUUCAUCUGAGUUGGAGAACCAGUUCAUCUGCUGAGGUCACACUUGUACUUGUACAUUUGCAGUAAAGUUAAUUUCUGUUCUACUUGUGCACCGGACAUGGGGCGACAGCCUUCUCCAUAGCUGCCCUCUCCCUCUGGAACUCUCUCACCAAACGCAUCCCAGACAGCACCGAUCUUUCCAUGUUCAAAUCAAAACUCACCUUUUCACAACUGCUUUUAAUGUGUUCUAUGUUUUUAGUGUAUAUCUUUUUAUGAUUUUUUUUUUUUUUAAAUGUUUAUAAAGUGUCUGAGUAUCCUGAAAAGUGCUCUAUAACUAAAAUGUAUUAGUCCAAAAUCAAUAAAGGAACAUAUUCUCAGAAUGUCUCACCUGGUCUUCUAUAAAAGUUAGAUCUUGUGCACCGUUUUGUGUAAUGAGUGGGUUAGUUUAGCUACUGAACAGUUCAUGUUUGAGUGGUCUGAAGAAUGGAAUUGGUGUCUCUUUCGUUAGAGUAUCCAGUCUCUGGCCAGGAUGAUUACGUCUGUAUUGAUUGUGAUUGCUGGUUGUCUCCUGACUGGUCGCUGGUGGUGUCGGACGGCAUUUUGGACCAGAGCAACGCAGCAAGGUCGAGGCUGAGUUGAGUUCCACCGGGGUUCACUUAUCCAACCAGAUUAACAGACUAACCGUGAUGAUGGUACGGGAGAAAGACGAGUGGGUCACAGGCCCUAUUACCAUCGUAGAACACCGUACAGCGCGAUGGAGGGGGGCUGGGCACACAAGUUAUUAAAGAACAUUAGGGUCAAAUGACUUGGUGCUUAGCAUGUGUUGUCUGUGUUCUUUAUGGGUCAAACUUUGUUUCAAUAAUUCUUGGAUAGUGUGUAAAAUUAAACAAAUGCAACCAUGCACCAUCAUUUUGGCUAUAUUUGUAGUAAGGAUUUAGUUUAAAAGUAUAAUCCUGAAACUGGAAAGGUUUAAUGCGAACACGAUGCAUUAACGUCAUCUUUCAAUUAGAUGACAAAUGCAGCUUU